rnacentral:rRNA from 1 species
CCUACGGGGGGCUGCAGUGAGGAAUAUUGGUCAAUGGGCGCAAGCCUGAACCAGCCAUCCCGCGUGAAGGAAGAAGGCCCUACGGGUUGUAAACUUCUUUUCUGUUUGAAGAAUAAGCUCGUCGAGACGAGUGAUGCCGGUAGGACAGGAAUAAGCAUCGGCUAACUCCGUGCCAGCAGCCGCGGUAAUACGGAGGAUGCAAGCGUUAUCCGGAUUUAUUGGGUUUAAAGGGUGCGCAGGUGGUUUAAUAAGUCAGUGGUGAAAGUCUGGCGCUUAACGUUAGGAUUGCCAUUGAUACUGUUAGACUUGAAUAUGGAUGAGGUAGGCGGAAUGUGUAGUGUAGCGGUGAAAUGCUUAGAUAUUACACAGAACACCGAUUGCGAAGGCAGCUUACUAAUCCAUCAUUGACGCUGAGGCACGAAAGCGUGGGGAUCAAACAGGAUUAGAUACCCCAGUAGUC